UCGGAAUUACUGGGCGUAAAGCGAGUGUAGGUGGUUGUCGUAGUCAGGUGUGAAAGCCUUGAGCUCAACUCAAGAAAUGCACUUGAUACUGGGCAGCUAGAGGACCGGAGAGGAUAGUGGAAUUCCCAGUGUAGUGGUGAAAUACGUAGAGAUUGGGAAGAACACCAGUGGCGAAGGCGGCUAUCUGGACGGCUUCUGACACUAAGACUCGAAAGCGUGGGGAGCAAACAGG
rnacentral:rRNA from 1 species